rnacentral:rRNA from 1 species
UACGGGGGGAGCAAGCGUUGUUCGGAUUUACUGGGCGUAAAGGGCGCGUAGGCGGCCACCGCAAGUCGACUGUGAAAUCUCCGGGCUUAACUCGGAAAGGUCAGCCGAUACUGCGGGGCUAGGGUGCAGAAGGGGCAACUGGAAUUCUCGGUGUAGCGGUGAAAUGCGUAGAUAUCGAGAGGAACACCUGCGGCGAAGGCGGGUUGCUGGGCUGACACUGACGCUGAUUGUGCGAAAGCUAGGGGAGCGAACGGG